rnacentral:misc_RNA from 1 species
GAAAUGCGAUAAGUAAUGUGAAUUGCAGAAUUCAGUGAAUCAUCGAAUCUUUGAACGCACAUUGCGCUCGCCAGUAUUCUGGCGAGCAUGCCUGUUCGAGCGUCAUUUCAACCAUCAAGCUCUGCUUGCGUUGGGGAUCCGCGGCUGCCCGCGGUCCCUCAAAAACAGUGCCGGGCUCGCUAGUCACACCGAGCGUAGUAACUCUACAUCGCUAUGGUCGUGCGGCGGGUUCUUGCCGUAAAACCCCCAAUUUCUAAGGUUGACCUCGGAUCAGGUAGGAAUACCCGCUGAACUUAAGC